AUUUGGGGAAUUGUAUAGUAGCCGUGAAUGUGAGGGGUCAGAUGGAGCAGCAUUUUUGUCUUGUUGCAGGAACCACUGCUAACUUAAACCAGGCCUAUGAUGCCCUUAGAAAAUGUCAAACUGACGAAUACCGAGCUAACUACAUUAAUCUGAGCCUGCCAGACGAAUGCAUGUCCUGAAGUUAACGGUGAUCGAGAUGGAGGUGGGCGCUAAUAUGGCUGACAACCGUGAACAUACACAGAC